UUUUUUUUUAGUGAUGACAUCUGAUAUUUUUUCAUAAAGGAGAAUUAGGACAAGUAUGCUUACUCUAUGAAGCCAAGAACAUGGCUAAUACUUAGAACACACCUAAUACCAAGUUUAACUCAUGGUAGAUAUCACACGGGUUAUAUUUUUUCCUUUUGGCUUAAGUACAAUCUUAAUAUAAAUAUAUAACCUCAGUAUACAAGUGUAAGUCAUUUGUUACUGCAAAUGAAGGCUGCUAAAAGAAGAACUCAUUAGGAAGAGUCAAGGGCAGACAAGGGAGAACAUACACAUGUAUAUUUCAUUAAGCCAAUAAGAAUGAUAUAUAAAACAAUGUAAUGUCAAAAGCAAUUUACUGCUACUCGGGGUUGAAAUCUACUAAAAAUUUUAUGAGCAUCGAUCAGGAUUAUUUUGUGGGACCAGAUAUCUAUAGACUUGUUAGAAUUGAUUUAUCUUCCUCUCUAUAUUUUGAUAGACUGCUGUGUAACCCCCUUAAAGUGCCAUUGGAUAUUGCUCAAUAAGAGAAGUUUGCUUUUCUAUCCACCCUCACUUUCUUUUAGACUGAGUCAUUGAUUACUUAGGGGACAUCAGCACCUGGUGAAAAGAUGGGGCACUUUUCAUUUGCCUGCUGGAAAGUCACUGUGCUCUCAGCAGUAUUCUAGGAUUUAUGACUUCAACCUACAGACCAUAACAAGAAGCAGAUUCUUUUUGGUUUAUGUGUGUGUGUAAAAUAUCACAUAUUGUAACAAGCAGCAUGCAGUAAAGCACAAACAAGACUGUGAGUCACUGCUGUUUGUAGCCAGCAGAUUUCAGAGCAAUAUGGCUUAAAAAUGAAUAGCCAUUAUUUCUCCCUGCCACAACGUCUUCUUAGAAGUUUGCAGGCAUUAGAGAGGGAAGGAGUGAAUCACUGAUGUAAGAUUUUAUUAUUGAGCAAUGUAAACAUUAUGUUAGAAUCAUGAUAGGUUUGCUUCUUAGUUUGUUAAUAAUAAUAAACUACUAAAAAGUGCUUCUCACUCUAUUUCCUUGUUUCCGUUUUUCCAUCCUUGUCAUAGUAUUUGCAUAGACUUCAAGUUCUUUAAGUGUAUAAAUACAGAAUCACUAAUCAUUUAGGUUUCUGAAAUACAACUCAGUGGCACAGAUCACUGUGCAGCAAAACAGCGUGACAGAAAAAAUCUGUCUUGGUUAAGAGAAACACAGAAUCCACAGGUGACAUGUGUGAUUAUGAUUCAUGAUCUGCAUAUUGUAGCACUGGGAAACAGAGUUCUGGUUUAUCUGCCUAGCUUGGUCAGUGAGUGAUUCAUUCCACAUCUCUGGAAGGACCUCGUGCUCCUGCCCCCAGAUUUCAGUUCCUUGUAUUCUUCAGAUGUAAGACAUUAUACUAGAUGGCUGAUUUAUGUAUAUUAGCUUUUAUCACUGAGUUAAGUAUUAAUUACCAGGCAGCUGCUGAUGCUGCUCUGGUUUCAAAUGCUGCUGCCUUUUGCCACUCACUCUCAGUCAUACAGUUCUGUAGGAAAGAACUCACUAAUCUCAAUAGUUGGUGCACAAAUUUGCUCUGGAAUAGAGGCAAUAGACUUCACCUGCACAGUUAGCUGGGAGACUUAAUUCAGCUAAUGAUUGUGAUAAAAAAACAUAAGAUGAAAAUUAUGACUAGGUGUUGAUGGUUUACAGGCUGGUUCGGCCUGGUUCCAUGACUGGUGGGGCAGAGGAAUCUGCAGAUCUGCACCUCCAGAAAGGGAAAACAGGGGACCCCAAGUAGUUAAAAGCAGUGGCAGCGAUCUGAGGAGAAACAAACUGAUUUACUAAAAAUGGUAUCGGAAUGCAAGAUAACACACUAUAAUACAGUAUAAUUAGAAUUGAAGCUAAUAAAUCAAAUAUAAUGAGAGAAAGAAUGUCGGAAAAAGCUGAAGGCGUUACACUGGCAGCAUGCAGUCGGGACGAGCAGCAGCGAGAGAGCCUGGCAAUCAAAAAGAGGGCCAUCAAGUGACCUGCCGAGGCCUUAUAUGUGUUCCCCCUGAGCAGGAAUGAUAAUAGAACAGUGAACAGUCUUCUGGGGAAUGUAGUUCUCCUUCUCUUCCAGACAGGUGCCUGGAACUGGAGCCUUAACUCUUUAACUCCCCGUGCACUACAUGAUGUUAUGAUGUGGAAUACCAAUAGCCAAAAAUCAUAAAACCAUGACAUUCCACCCCUCAUUCUACAUCACUACAUCAUGCUUAAUAUAUACAAACAAACCACAAUUACCAAACAUUAAACACAUGCACACACAUUUAUAUAUAUACAUGGAAUUACUGACUGCACUCCUCCAACAUCAAAUUCCCUUGUGGUACACAUUGAACGUCCCUGUUUUUCUGCAUCACCCACCAAGUGCACCCCGGUCCCUGGGCAAAAAACAGUUCCAUGAAGAGGUUUGCCCUUCCCAGAAGCUGGAAAGACCCAAACUGCUUUUCUCAACAUGUUCUUUACGUGUAUUACAGGGACCUCAUCUCCCUUGACAGUAUGUAGGGAGCUGGCAGGACCAUUUUGAUUUGCCAAUCCUCUAGUUUUGACUAACCAGAUGGCUUCUGCCAAUUGCUUAUCCCAAUGCUUAAAUGUUCCACCCCGCAUUGCUUUCAACAUGUUUUUUAAGAACCCAUUGUAUCAUUCAAUUUUACCAGAAGCUGGUGGGGAUAUGAUAAAUCCACUCAAUGCCAUGAUCUUUGGCCCAAGUAUUUACAAGAGAAUUUUUGAAAUGAGUCCCAUUAUUUGACUCAGUUCUUUCUGGAAUGCGAUGUCACCACAGGACUUGUUUCUCCAGACCCAAUAUAGUGUUUCAGGUGGUAGCAUGGGGUACUGCAUGUGUUUCAAGCCACCCAGUGGUUGCCUCCACCAUGGUAAGCGCAUAAUGUUUACCACUGCAAGAUCGUGGCAAGGUGAUAUAAUCAGCCUUCCACGCCUCCCCAUAUUUAUGCUUUUGCCCUUCCCCCCAGAGAGGUUUCAUCCUCCUGGCUUGUUUAAUUGUGGUGCAUGUGUCACAGUCAUGAAUAACCUGUGCAAUAGCGUCCAUAGUUAAGCCCACCCCUUGGUCUCCAGCCCAUUUGUGUAUUGCAUCUUUUCCUUGGUGGCCUGAGGUCUCAUGGGCCCACCAAGCUAGAAGUAACUCACCCUUGCGUUGCCAGUUCAGAUCUGUUUGAGCCACCUUAAUUCUGGCAGCUUGAUCUACCUGAUGGUUAUUUUGUUGUUCUGCAGUAGCCCAACUCUUGGGCACAUGAGCAUCUACAUGGCACACUUUUACAACCAUAUUCUUUAUACGGGCAGCAAUGUCUUUCCACAGUUCAGCAGCCCAAAUAAGUCUACCCCUUCAUUGCCAGUUGUUGUGUUCCCACUUUCAACUGCACCACACAGCUUGGCGUCAUCUGCAAAUUUGCUUAGGGUGCAUGUGAUCUCACUGUCAGUGACACUGAUGAAGAUAUUAAAAAAGAUAUUAAUAAAGAUCACGCACUCAUUGACAGGAGGAUAAAAGACAAACAAACAAACAACAUAGUGAAUCAUUAUAGUUUGCAAAAGAAAAAUGAAUCAAGACAAUACUGCCCAGAGGAAUUUAGAAAAAAAAAAAAAAAACAAUAGGAGAAAGUCAUGAGAAGGAAUCAGGUCACCUCCUACCUCUUUAGCAAACAAGUGGCAAAUAGCCAGUUGCAACAAUUAAGUUACUUGACCUAGUCUCAGACUUGUUCAGAAUAGACAGUCUUUUCAGUGUUCUGCUAAACCUAAGACAAGAAUAUCUAAACUCUAAAUGUGACAAAAACACAAAGGUAAGAAAACUUAUUUAAAAUCAGCCCAAACUGGAUUGCCUUCUGUAGAAUAUACAACAGGUGCAAGCACAAGGAGGCAGGAAGGAGGCAUUUUCACUCAUCUGGUAUCUGGUGCCUGCACUGCAUCGUCUUUCUUUGUUCUUUUAAUAACAGAGCCAUCAGUGACUCAGGAGCAGUUGCCUAGGGGACUUCCAUUGUGCUAAACAUUCAGGAGAUACUCAGUUUCCUCCCCAUCUGUUUUGUGUCACAGUAAACCCCCCCCAUGUUCAGGAAUACUGACAUCUCCCUCUUAGAGAGCAAAUAUUCAGUUCUCAAAAAAAUUGCAUGUACUGUUCUGUAGAGAAGGCAGGAUCAUAUGAGAGCAGACAGAACGCUAGUUUGCACUGUAGAAUAGACUCCUUUGCCUUGAACUCUAAAAUUAACUUAUCAAACCAUCACUACGGCAAGUGUCUGCAGAGUUUCUGUCAUAAUGCCAGGAUUAAUAUUGAACUGGACCUCACCAAUGACUUAUAAAUCCUCUUUGCAUAGCACCUUAAAUACAGAUGCUAUUUUAGAGGAGGAUAAUACUAGGAAAAGCCUUAUCCAGUUAAUUCCAUGCAAAAGGAAGCCUUAUAAUGGAACUUAGUCACUUCCUGUACCCUGCUUGGGCUCAUAUUAUGUACUAGUGCCAUCCAGUGUUAGACACAAGGUCAUUUACAUAAAAAAAAAUAAUAAGAUAAUAAUCCCUGAUUCUUGUAUACUUCACUUCCCCGGUUACUUUUCCAAGUUCACAGUAUGUACACUGAAUAUCAACCCAAUUACUGCUUUAAAAGUCUGUUAGAAACACUCCAUUUUAAGUUCAAUCACAGAUUUCAAACACUAAACAUUGAAAAUGAGGAGGAUCACAGUGAUCUGACAAAUUCUGUGCCCCCACAGAAUAAAAGACUUUUGAAUCCUGUUUAUCUUAGUGGCAGUUCAGAUCCAUUCCAAACAACUUGUUCCCUGUUCAUUCCUUGCCUGGAAGGAAGGUCUGUAUAAUCUGUAGGACGUGACUGUCUCAGUCCUAAAAGACUGAGAACAUAUCCUGUAACCACUCCCUUUCAUAGGAACUUCCAGUGCGUGAUGGAUAAUAUUUUAUUGAGAGAAUUUAAAAAAAAAAAAAAAAAAUCACUCUUUUUUUUCUUUUUUUUUUCUUUUUUUUUCC
ensembl:lncRNA